rnacentral:tRNA from 1 species
UAGCUCAGUUGGCAGAGUGCUUACCUAGAAUGCAUGAAUCCUGGGUUCAAUUCCCAG